AUUCCAGCUCCAAUAGCGUAUAUUUAAGUUGUUGCAGUUAAAAAGCUCGUAGUCGGACUUUGGCUGAGAACGGUCGGUCCGCCGUUAGGUGUGCACUGACUGGUCUCAGCUUCCUGGUGAGGAGGUGUGCUUCACGGCCACUUAGUCACCGUGGUUACUUUGAAAAAAUUAGAGUGUUCAAAGCGGGCUUACGCUUGAAUAUAUUAGCAUGGAAUAACACCAUAGGACUCCUGUCCUAUUUCGUUGGUCUCGGGACGGGAGUAAUGAUUAAGAGGAACAGUUGGGGGCAUUCGUAUUUCAUUGUCAGAGGUGAAAUUCUUGGAUUUAUGAAAGACGAACUUCUGCGAAAGCAUUUGCCAAGGAUGUUUUAAUCA
rnacentral:rRNA from 1 species